GCGGCAGUAGCUCAGUGGUAGAGCCUCGCCUCGCAUGUGAGGAGACCUGGGUUCGAUUCUCGGCUGCUUCC
rnacentral:tRNA from 1 species